CCAACCCCUACCUCGCUCUCUCCCCACGAACCUCUCUGUCUCUCGCGACUCCUCUCUCCCCCACAAACCCCUCUCCCUCGCCGCCGCCACCACCCACGCCGGCCGGUUCCGGCGAGCUCCGGCGGCGCGCAGCACGCCCCCGAGCUCCCCUAGGUCCGCUCCACCUUCCCCUCCAUCCAGAAUCGGCGCUCCCGUCCUCCACCGACCCCGUGGCUAGCUAGGGUUUCGACCACCACCCCUAACAUCCCCGGGAUCAGCCAGAUUCGGCGACGGCGAGGCCAGAGCUCGACGGAUCCGUUACGGGCGUGGCGCAGGUCACCUUGGUGCGGUCUGGACGGCGGCGACGGCAGGAGGGCGUCGUCCUUCCUACUCUAGGAGGCGGAGGACGAGGGGCACACCUAGCUGGCGGCCCUGUCCUGCUCGAGGAGGCGGGGGUUGCCGAGCUCAAGCACGGCCACAACGACCCACCUCGGCAUGUAGCACCUCCAUCUCCUCCGCCUCCUUCCUCUGCUCACUACUGCUGCUGCUAAGUAGAGGAAUAUGUGAUGCACUGCACCACACGAAGCUGGCUAUAUCCUUCACCGGUAGCUAGUUUGAUCUAUCCUGACGGACAAGCUAACAUACAUAGUAGUAGUUGCUUUUUUAUCAUUCCCCCACCGGCCAGAGCACAACGUACACACACACAGAGGAAAUCUCUAGUUAGCUUUCUUUUAGUUUGUCCUCUAAUUUGUGAUUGGCCAUAGGCUCGCGACAAUCUCUUUUUUUCUUUGUUGAUGCUUACGAUCAAUUCCAUAAUUUACCAGUGUAUAAGUAUAUAGCCCCUAGCCAUGUCUACUUCCAGUCCUACUCGGACACACAUAUUCACAUGUAUUUUGCACAUACGCGUGAAAUCACGUUCAAGGGAACUUUAGCACUACUUUACAAUGUACAUGAAGAAUCGGUUUACUCCAAUUGACAAGUAAAGUACAGUGGCCUAGUUGGAUCCUGUGACAAAUUCACAUCCUAGGCUUGAUUCCUGGCCGAGGCAGCUUUUACUUCAAUUGACUGCAUGAUUAAAGUAUAGAUAUAGAUAGUAUAUUUGUACUGGUAUGAUGAACAAGAGCUUCCAGUUAAUUACAUAAUAUUGGUGAUGUAGUUUUACUUGCUGUGUAUGCUUGCUUAGUUGUCCAUCGGGCCGCUCUCUUGUAUCGUUUGAGUGCGCCAAUUAGUUCGGCCAGCCUCUAUGAUUUAUUAUGUAGCUUCUGGAGUGCUUCUAUCUAUAUUUGUGAAAAAUUCGACCCAACAAAAAAAAUGUUAAUCAGUCCGCUCUCUCAAAGUUGAGUUUAGGCUGCUGCAUAUGAACGAUUUUUUUCUUAGUUUGGGUGCUAGGUACUGAUAGAGUUGGUGUAUCCAUAGAUAGCAUACACUUGCGCACUUUUUUGAGUUCUUCUGUUGCGAAUGAGAACAACCAUCAUGGACCUCCUCUGUUUCCAAGCAGCUUGCUUCACCAUGUAUGAUUUAUGCAGCAUAUACAUCUUGCUCCUCUUUUAUCAGUAGCAAUGGAAGUUGAUGAAAUUUAAGUGUCAUGUUGUUCUAGAGAUGCAGGGAGGGAGGGACGUCCAUGGAUUGGACUGGAAGGAUUAGAUGCAAACCAAUGCACAUGAGGAGGAGAGAUGCAAGCCAGGCCAUGACCUAAAGAUGUCCUUGGAGAAGAUGGCCAUUGGAGUGUAGGGGAGAAACAACCUUGUCCUGCUCGAGGAGGAGGAGGAGGAGGACCACCCGAGCUCGACGACGAUACGGCAACAGGUAGCACUCGCCUCUCUCCCAAGGUGAAGGUCUGAUCUGCCUGUUUAGAUGGUCUGCUCUCGUCUUAUGCAUGUGAGGGGAGACGAAAGCCAUUGGACUGAAUUAUAUUUGCAUGUGAGGGGAGUGAUCCUUUUGGUAGAUGCAGAGUAUAGAUUCACAAAAUUCACCACAUUGAGGUACCACUUGCAUCUUUUGUAUGUACACAUGAAAAAGCACGACGGUUUGCUUCGGUUUGUAUGUGUCCAAUUGUUUUUUACUUUUGACUGAAACUAUCUAUCUUGGUGGCACUUGCAUCUCUUGUACAUACAUACAUAUGAAUCAGCACCACACUUUUCUUCAGUUUGUAUGUGUCAAUUUUUUUGGUUGAACUUUGACUGAAACCAACUGGAUGGCACCUCAAUCUGUACAUACACAUGAAUCAGCACCACCCUUGGUUCAGUUUUGUAUGUGUCCAUUUGUUUUUACUUUGACUAAAGCCAACUUGAUGACACUUGCAUCUUCUGUAUAUACAUAUAUACAUAUGAAUCAGCACCACUCUUUUUCUCUUUGAAGCUUGCCUUGAACAACAACUGAUGCUUGAUAGAUACAACUGAAACUGGAGCAUCUCUGUACUGUAUGUAUUAGUAGUAUUGUUCGGUUCAAGCACCAACAUGACAAGUUAUCUUCAGCAAAAGCAAUAAUUUUCUGCCUUUUUAGUUUGAUGCCCUGUUCUAGGCGAUUUUCUUUUGGUAAAUUCAAUGUAUAGAUUACAUAUUCAUCCUC